rnacentral:rRNA from 1 species
UGGGGAAUAUUGGGCAAUGGGCGAAAGCCUGACCCAGCAACGCCGCGUGAAGGAAGAAGGUCUUCGGAUUGUAAACUUCUUUUAUGAGGGACGAAGGACGUGACGGUACCUCAUGAAUAAGCCACGGCUAACUACGUGCCAGCAGCCGCGGUAAUACGUAGGUGGCAAGCGUUAUCCGGAUUUACUGGGUGUAAAGGGCGCGUAGGCGGGGAUGCAAGUCAGAUGUGAAAUCUAUGGGCUUAACUCAUAAACUGCAUUUGAAACUGUAUCUCUUGAGUGCUGGAGAGGUAGACGGAAUUCCUUGUGUAGCGGUCGAAAUGCGUAGAUAUCAGGAGGAACACCGGUGGCGAAGGCGGCUUACUGGACGAUGACUGACGCUGAGGCUCGAAAGCGUGGGGAGCAAACAGGAUUAGAUACCC